rnacentral:rRNA from 1 species
GAUGAACGCUGGCGGCGUGCCUAAUACAUGCAAGUCGAGCGAACGGACGAGAAGCUUGCUUCUCUGAUGUUAGCGGCGGACGGGUGAGUAACACGUGGAUAACCUACCUAUAAGACUGGGAUAACUUCGGGAAACCGGAGCUAAUACCGGAUAAUAUUUUGAACCGCAUGGUUCAAAAGUGAAAGACGGUCUUGCUGUCACUUAUAGAUGGAUCCGCGCUGCAUUAGCUAGUUGGUAAGGUAACGGCUUACCAAGGCAACGAUGCAUAGCCGACCUGAGAGGGUGAUCGGCCACACUGGAACUGAGACACGGUCCAGACUCCUACGGGAGGCAGCAGUAGGGAACCUUCCGCAAUGGGCGAAAGCCUGACGGGGCAACGCCGCGUGAGUGAUGAAGGUCUUCGGAUCGUAAAACUCUGUUAUUAGGGAAGAACAUAUGUGUAAGUAACUGUGCACAUCUUGACGGUACCUAAUCAGAAAGCCACGGCUAACUACGUG